CCGCCGGGCACCACGGGGCUCGUAGUCUGGGCUGGGCCCCCGCCGGGGAGCGCGGAGGAAGGAGGAGGAGGGCAGCGGAGGUGAACACCGACGAGCACACAGAGUUCCAGAUGCCGAUCCUCAGAGAAUCCAUGUGUAACAAAGGAUGGAUAAUCUUUUGGCUCAGCUCCAGCCUGGUGGAGCCUGCAUGUGGUUGUUUCAGGCUAAUGUACAAAAAGGGUCCUGCAUUUAUUCUGCCAGAGAAGGAUGUUUGUUUGACUUGCUGCUUUCAAGUUCCACCUGAAGCUGCAGAGCACUGCAAUCUUCAGCUGUUUGUUAAGUGCUGAGUGAUUUGCCUGUGCCAGCGUUGGGAGCACAGGGUGAAGAUGGGGUGUGUAUUUCUGUACUUGGCAGGAACAGGUCUGUAUGGCAGGAUGCUUGGCAUGAGGGGGCAUUAUCUCAUGUGGAGAGGGAGAUUCUUUAUAGGUCUGUGAGCCUUCCUGCAUGGGAAUGAACUGCUGAGGACACUCAUCGCUGUUGCAUUGGGUGGCACCUGGCAUUUUGUCAGAAGCAGAGGGAUUGGAAGGCUCCACGUUCAGUGUGCUCUUCUGUUCAGCCCCAUUUACAGGGGCAGGCAGUUUAAUUGUGAAGAUGUGCCCUGGAAUUUUUGGCAGUACCGUUAUCAGUAAUAAUGAUAAAUUCUUUAUUGGCCACUUAUUUGUGUCCUGCCCCAACUAUUGCACUUUGCUUGCAAGUGAGUGCUGGAAUACUCAUUUUUGGACACAUUGGUUCUUUUUCUAUGCAGCACAAAAAUCAGAUCUUUUGUGGAAACAAAUGCUUGGUAUUUGUUGUACAUUGUGCACUUGGAAUAACUUGCAGUUGAAGGAAAGAUCAGGAUCCUGGAAAAGCAGGAUCCUGAGUCUGAACUCAGCUUGGUCUUGCCUUGCUGAGUGGUAUUAGGUGAGUUACUUGACCCUUUCACUACUUAUCACUCAGUAAACCAUGAAUCAUAAGUUCCACGUAUAAGGAUGUUUAUUAAGACUUUAAGAACAUCUUUACGUGGACAAUCCUGGUGCCACAUUAAGCUGGUGAUGAGGUUUGUAUUUUGUGUAAUUGAUCACCUUACAAUCGCCAGUGUUUUUAACUGCUAUAUUGAUUGACAUUUCUAACAGAUACAGACAAAACUAUAUUCAUGUUCCAGUUAAAUCCUGUAUCACACCCACAUUUUUUUCAGUGCAGUGAUAUUCAAAUAAACCCACAAACCAACCUCAUCAGAAAAGCAAACUGUCCAGCCAACUAGCAAUUAAAUUGACAUAUUUUUUCUUCUGAAAGGCCAUAUUCUUAACUGGCCUCUACUAUCUUGAGCAUAUGUGAGAAAAAAAAAAAAUCAUGGUGUAGUUGCUUGGCCAGCUUUGGGACUUCAUUGCGUUGGUCAUGCAAUGACCAAAGUUCAGCUGGAGGUUUUAUGAUACAACCAGUGAGCAGGAGGUCAGGUUCAGGUUAUGGUUUUGGUCUCCUUCUGUGUUUGUUUUGUUUCUCCACAGACUGGAAGAGAACGAGAAGUGAGAAGCGUUUCAGCUGUUUUCUCCUGCCCAACCCCACUACUUUCAGUCUCCUCCCCUUUCUACCUGGACUCCAAACUGUGAACAACUUUUUGCUUCUUUGUUGCUGUUACAUAUUACAACUUGUGAAAAACCCUGAUUAAUUCUAGCUUUCUUUUAGGGGUUGCUCCCUGUAUCCUCCCAAUUUCUUUUGAGGGGUUAGAAUUCCCUGUAGUCGUCAGAUAAAACCAUCUGUAGUGGACAAAAA